rnacentral:lncRNA from 1 species
AUUUUAAUAAUAAUAUAAGUUGUAUAACAAGAUUUCAAAUUGUAUAAGAAAUACGAUACGAGACUUUAGAGGAUAGAACCCCGUUGAUAUAUAUUGUUGUCGCUUUCCUCCACGUGGAUUGUGGAACUCGAAUUAUGUCGCUUUUGUUAACCAUGGUUAACACCUGGAGUACGUCUAACCACACCUUGAAGUAGAUCGUGACGCGUGUCAGAUAUCAACGGCCAAGAUCCAAAGCAAGAAGAUAUUCGAGAAGCAAUGACUCUAUUUAUCACCGCGUCCCACGCCUAACCCUAACGUCAGUCCUGAGUCGUCCUUAUCCUUGACGUGAAUUCACUGAGUCUGCGAUGGCAAACCCUAAGGUCUUCUUUGACAUGUCCGUCGGCGGUGUGCCUGCCGGUCGGAUCGUGAUGGAGCUUUUCGCCGACACCACUCCCCGCACUGCUGAAAACUUCCGAGCACUCUGCACCGGCGAGAAGGGAACCGGCCGCAGCGGAAAGCCUCUGCACUACAAGGGAUCUAAGUUCCACCGGGUCAUCCCCGGGUUCAUGUGCCAGGGAGGCGAUUUCACCGCCGGAAACGGUACUGGUGGCGAAUCGAUCUAUGGAUCUAAGUUCGCCGACGAGAACUUCAUCCACAAGCACACUGGCCCGGGAAUACUAUCCAUGGCAAACGCUGGUCCCGGAACCAAUGGAUCACAGUUUUUCAUCUGUACAGCCAAGACCUCGUGGCUUGAUGGUAAGCACGUGGUGUUUGGGAAGGUGAUUGAAGGGCUGGAUGUGGUGAAAGCCAUUGAGAAGGUCGGAUCUUCGUCUGGAUCCACCGCCAAGGCUGUUGUGGUCAGUGACUGCGGGCAGCUUAGUUGAAUGACUCCUGUGAUCUAUGAGCCUCGAUCUUUACUUUGUCAUGUUAGGGUUUGGUGCUUUUUAUCUUUUUUUUUUUCAUCUUUUCUUGAAGGGUAUGCAGUGAUUUCGGAUCGCUUGUUCCGUGAAGAGAGGGAAGGAGAGGCUUUAUUUGAAUAAGCUAGGUUUUGUUACCUACCUACCGUCUUGUUAUGCUAUGAUAUGAACCUUCUAUCACUCUAAAAAGUGUUUUUAUCCUCUGUUUGGCUGUCGGUGAAAACGAAGGAAAUCACAUUCCUUUUUAAGACGAGCUCCAUUUUCACUCACUAGCAUGUCUUUCCUCUCAAACUUUUGCCUGGAUCCAAAUCAUAUGCCACCAAUCUCAAACGUUGACAUUAGAAGACAGUAUACAAUUUAGCAAUAUACAUGUAUCACUAGACACAUGACAAUAUGGAGAUCCAUAAAGUAAAAUUAGCGGAAUCUGAUUUAUAUAUGGGAAAGAUGUUCAACUCGUUGGAUGAAGACAAAACAACGAAAAUUUUCGGUACUUCCUAAAAAGGGAUAAUCGCCGAUACAUUGGACUUGGAGGGUUUUUUAUAUUUUUAUAACAAAAACAGGAAAAUGAAAUUAGUGAAUUAGCCUAUUGGUUGAUAAAAUACGUUCUGG